rnacentral:lncRNA from 1 species
AAUCACAACUCCAACAAGCCCUUCCCAUGCAUAUCGAACUCCAAACGCUCAAAUCUAGUCACAAACAAAUCAAUAUCAACAAAUAACGUCGUAGGAAACAACUUCAAACAAUAAAGUUUUGAUCUUUAUCAAAAUCAAAAAAGUCAACCUAAAAAGUCAACCCAUGUCUCACGCCUCGUAACCCGAUAAAAUUCAUAAAAUCCGAAUACCAAUUUAAUUACCAUUCCAACCAGACCAAAAUCAUCCAUUUCCUACCUCAAAUCGACCUUCAAACCUCUAUUUUUUAUUUUUGAAAAGUUUCCAGCAAAAUCCCUAUUUAUUCAAUAUAAUUCACUAAAAAACAAUGAUGGAAUCAUGAUAAAUGAACAAAUCCGAGUCAAGAACACUUACCCCAACCCAAGACGUGAAGAUCCCCUCCUAAACUGCUCAAAAUCGCGCUUUACAACUCAAAAUGUAAAAAUAAUACUCUAACCCUCGAUUUGGGUUUUAACAUUCUAUUGCCCAGUUAUUGUGAAUCGCGAUCGUAGAAAUAACCUCGCGAUCGCGAAGAAUAAAAUAAUCUCUUCCCUUAAUUAGCAUACGCAAAAGCGAAAGUCCAGUCUCGAUCGUGUUGCUUACCAGCCCUGAACCUACGCGAACGCGGGCUCCUCCACGUGAUCUCGUAGGCCUGACGCCCCCAGCUGACUUCUCCUCUAUGAAAACGCGUGGUCUUUGUCACGUCCGUGAUGAACUGAGACUCAAAGGCUACGCGAACUUGAGCCCAUGUAUGCAAAUGCAGUGCACAAUUUUCCAACUUCCCACAACAACUCUACGCGAUCGCGUAAGAGGAAACUAGGUACUAGAAAUCAGCAACUCAACAAAGUCCAAAAUGAGUCUGAACAUGAUCCGAAUCAUACUCGAGGCCCCCCAGGAUCCCAUCCAAACAUACUAACAGGUCCUAAUACAUGAUACAAACUUAGUUUAACCCUGAAAUCAUAUCAAACAAUAUCGAAACAACGAAUCGCACCCUGAUUCAAGCCUAAUGAACUAUUGAACUUCCAACUUCUAAAACCAAUGCCUAAACAUACCAAACCAACUCCAAUUGACCUCAAAUUUUGCACACAAGUCUUAAAUAACACAACAGACCUAUUCCAACUCCCGAAACAAAAAUUCGAGUCCGAUAUCAACAAAGUCAACUCUUGGUCAAACUUCUCAACCUUCCAAACCUUCAACUUUUCAAUUUUUGCCAAUUCAAACCAAAAUGACCUACAAAUCUCCAAAUCAAUAUUCGGACAUACUCCUAAUUCAAAAAUCAAGAUACGAAGCUAUCGGAACCAUAAAAAAUUUAUUCCGAAGUCAUUUACACAUAAGUCAAUAUCCGGUCAACUCUUUCAACUUAAGCUUCUAACAUUGGGACUACGUAACCCAAAUUAUCCCGAAAUAUCCCCAUAACCAAACCAACCACCUCGGUAGGUCACAUAACCACAAAUGAACAUACAAGAAGUGAUAAAUGGGAGAACGAAGCUACAAUACUCAAAACUACCAGCCGGGUUGUUACAGCCUCGAAUGACGUAUGGGGUUGCGUUAUUAGCAUAGAAUUAUGGUUGUAACUAUUUAAUUGUAAAUGUUUUUGGGGAAAAUUCAUGAUUUCCGUAAAGAGAAGAACUUAAGCACGAGUUUCUAAUUCCCAAGGUCAAGGUCAUGGCAAGCAAAUAGUUGAUAAUAAAAUUAUUUGAUAAGAAAGUGCUUGAAUGUUCUUAAGGGUAAUGUUCAGAUUGUUGUUUGAAAUUUUUGAUUGCUUAAUUGAUAUGAAUUUAUAAUUAGUUAAUGAUACAAAUUAUCUUAUAGAAGUUAAAUUUCCUUAUUUGUUAACUCAACUAGCUCAGAAUGUUAGAGAAAAAAUGAUUCUCUUGUUUGAUUGUAUUGUUGGUAUGCCAUUGCCUGCAUUAAUUCAAAUUAUGCUCAUAUUUGAUAUAUGUAAUCACAUAAGAAAAGGAAAAGUUGGUCUAGUGGACUCUUUAUCCACGAUGGCCUAGUGUGCGUGAGUUGCUCUAGUUAAUACUUUUUCCACGAGGGCCUAGUGUGCGUAAGUUUGUGUCAUGACCCAAAAACCACCAGCUGAUCAUGAUGGUACCUAACUCACUUGCUAGGCAAGCUAAACAUAACAAUAGCGGAUCAAGAUAACAAAAUUACGGAAAUAGUACAAUUUUAAAUCCAAAUAUCAUAAAUAAACUGUGUCAAUACAAAAACAUUCCCGAAACUAGCAAUAUAAUGUCAUGAGCUCUACAGUAGAUAUACAAUUCUGAAAACACAAAGUGAAAAUACUAUCUGAAAGAGACACCAAGGAUUGCGGUCGGAAUCCAGCUCUAUCUCAUCUCUCAGCAGCUCAACAAUAAUCACGACAACUCUCAAUUAAGUGCAUAGUGUAGUAUGAGUACAACUGAUCACAUGUACUCAUCAAGUAUCAUAACUAACCUCGACGAGAUAAUAGUAGCAAGAAUUACCAGCGAUACUCGCUAACAACCUGCUAAGAUCAUAAAUUGCACAAGUACACAACAAUGGUACCAUCUAUUCAUUUAAAACACAAAUAUGACCACAUCAGUGCACAUAGAGAAGAGGUUCCAAAUCAUAUGUCCGUUAACAACUCAGCAUAUAAAGAAGAUAUGCAUUUUAGAAUCAAACCAUAUGCACAUGUUAAUAUAUAGAGAAGAUAUAUACCGUGCCUUCACCUUACAAUCAAUAGCAUAUAAAGAAGAUAUGCAUAAAUAAGCAUGUAUAAAACCCAACAAUGGAAUGUAGAGAAGAUAUGUGAUAAACCAUGCAUAUACCCAAGGUAAUUACAAAAAGAGAAAAGAUGCAAAAACCCAAAUACUGAUCAGUUUUCCUCAUACGACAUGUACAUCAUCAAGAGAGAAAUAUGAGAGGAUGAUCCUAGGGUAAUGGAUUCUUAUCCACAUGCUACAUAGACAACUCACGUACACAACCAUCGCAAGGACAACUCACGAUCCAUGAUCAUAAUGUAACAACCUGACCGGUCGUUUGUGUAUUUGAGCCUUAUUUCCCUAUUUGAUACUCCCCGCAUGUGUAUUUGUUAUUAUAUAAUUUGCGGGGAUAGUUCGGGAAGGUUUUGGAGUGAAUUGGAAUACUUCGUUCCAAGGUUCAAAGCUUAAGUUAUAAGAGUUGACUGAGGUUUGACUUUUGUAUAAACAAAUCCAGAAUGGUAUUUUGAUGGUUCUAGUAAGUUCAUGUAGUAAUUUUGGACUUAGGCAUAUGACCUGAAUUUAUUUUAGAGGUUCUUAGGAUGAUUUGGCUCUUUUUGCCGAAAGUUAGAAAUUUGAAUAUUUAGAAAUUUCAUAAGAUUAACAAUGGGUUGACUUUGUGUCUAUCAAGGAUGGAAUGUUGUUUCGAGACUUGCAAUAGGCCUACCAUUUUGUCAUUUAGCACUUGUGUGUAAUGUUUGGUGUCAUUCCAAGUUGGCUUGGUAGGAAUCGGGCGCUUGGUUGUCAAUAUUGAAGCUCUUGAGUUUCAAAGCUUGCAUGAUGAUGAUUUUUUAAAAAACUUAUGUUAGUAAGAUUUUUAAUAUUUUCUCUCUCUAGCCUUGGGCUCUCGGCGCACGUUAUGUUAACAUACGCCGACAUUAGUAGACAUGGCCAGAGGACGAGGUCGACUGAACAAACAAGUAAUUGUAAUAGUGGGAAGCUCGGUAAGUGCUAGGGUAAUAGCAAAAACCCUAGAAAAUGAAAGUGAACUGAGAAUUGCAACACCGGUAGCGACUCAGUUCCCGUCACUUUCACCCUUUGGAUCGAUAGCUAAAUUGGCCACUGGAUUAAGAAAUUAAACCUCAAUGGAGAUCUAAAGACGCAAUCGACUGGAAAUGAAAGACUACAAGGAAGCACAAGCGUUAAUGUUCAAAGACCAAAGACCAAACACAGGGAAACUCUGAAGCAGCACUGAAGCAACAAGUUCCAGAUCCUACUUGGACUGGGCUACUCACACACAAUCAAGCGGCAACCAAUGAUAUGUCUCUGGAUUAUAUACCCCUGGAAUUGGUUGAAGGAACUAUAAUUGUAAAGCUUCAUAAAGAAGAAAUAGAAAAGGAAAUCGAUAAAUGGAAGUCGGCAUAUAUAGUUUUUGUGAUAGGAGAAACAUGUGGAUAUAACUAUAUGAAGAAGUAUAUGAAUCAAAAUUGGAACACUGUUGCGGAACCUAAAAUCUAUUAUCAUGAGGAGGGAUACUAUGGUGUUAAAUUUUAAAGCAUAGCAGAUUUGAAUGAAAUUUUAUUUGUGAGCCCUUACAGUAUUAACAACAGACCUCUGAUCGUAAAGUAAUGGACUCCAGAUUUUGAUUUUAAUGCAGAGUUCCUCACAGAAUUUCCCCUAUGGGUUCAAUUCCAAAAUCUGCCCAUGAGUUGUUGGAGUAGAGUCUCAUUGAGUAGGAUAGAAAGUUCUACUGGUGUACGAAAAUAUGCAGAUGAGUGCACGAUAAAGCAAACCGGAAUAUCUUUUUCCAGAAUGCUCAUAGAGGUUAAUGUCACCAAGCCUCUGCAAUCUGAAAUAAUAGUGAUGGAUCCUUCAGGGAAAACAUUCCAGCAUACAGUGACUUUUUAAUGGAAACUUGAAUAUUGUAAAGAUUUCUUAAUAAUAGUGCAUAAUUGUGCUACACAAAGGUUGCGUGAAUUGAAGAAGGAGGAAUGAAAGCAAUCUAGCGUAACAAAAAAAAAGGAAGGGACCUAAAACAUUGGUACCAUCUUGGGUGCCAAAGUUUGAUAAUUGUGUGUCAGCUACUUCUACUAGUGAUCAGCAGGGGACUAGUUAUGCAAAUGUCACCAAACAAGUCCAGCAUCCAGAAGAUAUAAUGGAACAUGAAGAGAUAGAUCCACGAGCCAAGGAGAAAUAGUUAUUGAAAGGGAAGGAAGCUAAGGAAAUAAAUGGCAGAAUUAUGAAUCAAAUAGUGGAAGUUGCUAUACCAGUGAGGAAUGAGUUUGAAAUCUUACAAUCAGAUGAUGUUGUGGUGGCACACCUACUCCCUUAUGAAUUAGGAAGGUGAUUCAUAUACCAUUAGUAAUGUCCUUAUUAGCAUGGAAUGUGAGGGGGUUAAAUAAAAGGUAUAGACAAAUGGAAAUAGCUACAUACCUUAGAGAGAAUAAAGUAAAUUUAGUAGGAUUAGUGGAAACAAGAGUAAAGGAACAUAAAGUAGGCAGCAUUAGCAACAAAAUUGCUCCUGGAUGGGGGUUUGAAGCUAACUAUGCACAUGCAGUUAAUGGGAGAAUCUGAAUCCUUUUGGGAUAGUAAUAUAAACCAGAUUAAGAUUAUACAACAAGAAGCACAACUUCUACAUUGUAAUAUGGUUAGAAGGAAUCAAGUCAUUGAUUAUGAUAUGGCAGCGGUGUAUGGACUCAAUACACUAGAACAGAGGAAGGAAUUAUGGCAGAAGCUUAUAAGAAUCUCACAAAAUGUCUCCAAACCAUAACUUAUCUGGGGAGAUUUCAAUUCUAUAUCAUGUCCACAUGAUAGACUACAUGGUGCAGUAGUAACUAGUAUGGAGAUAAGGGAUUUUGCUGAAUGUAUUGAAACACUGAUGCUAAAUGAGUUACCAUGGAAGGGAGACUAUUAUACUUGGACAAAUAGACAAUAAGCGGGUGAUAGAAUCUGGAGUAGAAUUGACAGAGUUAUGCGGAAUGUAGACGGGAUGAUGCAGUUUGGACACUUAACUACUGAGUACAAACUGCCUCAUAUCUCAGAUCAUAGUCCUACGCUGAUAACUACUAACCUGAGGGAGCCAAGGAUCAAACCACCAUUUAAGUUCUUCAAUGUUUGGACAACACAUGAAAACUUUCUUAAGCUAGUGGAGGAAUGUUGGACACAGAGUUUGCACCUGGAAAAAAUGAGAAACAUCUGGCUUAAAGAGAAAGACCUUAGGGGAAAAUUUAAGAUUCUAAAUGAAAGUGAAUUCAAGGGUGCUGUAAUGAGAAUUAAACAAGCUAGAGAUGACCUGUAAGAGAUCCAGACAAAGAUGAGUAUGCAAUAUACAGAUACACUUGACUUAGAAGAGAAUAAUAUAAUCUGUCAACUUGAAAAGUGGUCCAUGAUUGAAGAAAGUGUUAUGCAAAAAAAGGCUAGGGCAAUGUGGAUAAAGCUUGAAGACUCUAACACUAACUAUUUUUCAGUUAUUAUGGGAGACAAAAAACAGAAGAAACAAAUCACAGAGAUUGACUCUCCAGAUGGAAGGAGGCUGGUUGAAGCAGUAGAUAUAAAGGAGGAAAUUACUUAGUUCUAACUAUAUCCCCGCGAGCCAAGUGGAGCAUGCAUGAAGUAGUCAGAUGCUUCUUCUAUUCUUUUCCCUGACGUAGCCGGGCCAUCCUGGAUUUGAACCAGAGACCUCGCCCAUGAAUUAAAUAAUCGCACCUACGGUCCAACCAAUUGGGAGAGAAACAAUAGAUUCCUUUUCAAGAGUGAUUCAUCCUUCACGAAUGCAGCAUAUAACUCUCCAUUGUACUGCGCUCUCCAGUUGUUCUUAUCAGUCACUCAUUGGGACAACAUUACCCGGUGUGGCAACAGUAAAUAGAAAGACUAUGAGAAGAGGUGAAACCCUUAACCACGCCCAGCAACUAAAUUUAUGUGAAACAGUAAUAGAGAAGUAAACCUAUAAAGGAUUAUGCUCGAUAGGAGAUAACAAAGCACCAGGGGUGGAUGGAUAUAAUGCAGUAUUAUACAAAAAUGCAUGGUCAAUCAUUAAGCAUGAAGUAAUAGAAGUAGUAAAGGAGUUCUUCACAACAGGUACACUGUUUAUAGGCAUCAAUUGUACAUUAGUUACUUUGAUUCCAUAGGUAGCCAAGCCUACUACAAUCAAAUAGUAGAGGCCCAUUGCCUCUUAUACUUUUCUCUAUAAAAUCAUAGCUAAAAUCUUGGCAGGAAGAAUACAAAAGGUUAUUGCUAACAUCAUCACAAAAACUCAAGUUGGAUUCAUUUAUGGGAGAAAGGUAGCAGACAAUGUGAUCUUGGCACAUGAACUGAUAAAGGCAUACACAAGGAAAUAUAUCUCACCUAGAUGUAUGAUCAAUGUGGAUAUUCAAAAAAGCCUAUGACACUGUGAAUUGGAAUUUUUUAAAUCAGAUGGUGGAAGAGGUGUAAUUCCCUCAAAAAUUUCUUAGAUGGGUGAUGGAAUGUGUUUCAACAGUCAACUACUCUAUAGUAAUCAAUGGAGAGCAAACUAAACCAUUUGAUGCUGCAAGAGGACUCAGACAAGGGGAUCCAAAAAUCACCCUUUUUGUUUGCUAUAGUCAUGGAGUACUUAAGCAGAAACCUUAGUAAGUUAAUGGGUGAGAAGAAAUUUAAAUAUCAUCUUAAGUGCUCAAAAAUGAAUAUCACUCAAUUGAGUUUUGUAGAUGAAUUGCUAACGCUUUCCGAAGGAGAUAUUACUUCUGUAGGUUUACUGCAUAAAAGGUUUGGCAACUUCACAGCUGCCUCAGGCUUACAAGCUAACCUGUUAUAAAGUGCUAUAUAUUUUGGUGGAGUCGCAGAACCUAUCAAACAUGAUAUCCAACAACUGUUGGGAUAUGGGCUAGGGGAAUUACCUUUUAGGUACUUAGGGAUUCCAUUGGCUACAAGAAAACUGAAGCUAGUUGAAUUGUAACCCUUAAUCACCAAGAUUACUGCAAGGUUGUCUUCAUGGGUAGCAAGGAAGUUGUCAUAUGCUGGCCGAGUUCAAUUGGUGAAAUCAGUUCUAUUUUGAGUUUAAUCUUACUGGGCUCAGUUGUUCAUAAUACCUGUUAAGGUGAUGAAGGCCAUAGAAGCUUACUGCAUAAUCUAUAUUUGGUCUGGAGCAAAUGAAAUUACUAGAAAGUCAUUGAUUUCCUGGAGUAAAAUGUGUGUGCCAAAAUCAGCCGGAGGCCUAAACCUCACAAAUUUGAAGAUCCGGAACAAAGCAACUAUAACAAAAACUUAUUGGGAAUUACAUAGUAAAAACGAUACCUUUUGGAUCAAAUGGAUACCUAGGUAUUACAUAAAGGGGAAGCAAUUAGUGAAUAUGCCUAUUCCUCAACAAGCAAGCUAGAUGGUAAGGAAAAUAUUCAAGGCAAGAGAGGAGUUGAGUCUUGUGAACAUGAUUCAUCAGGCAACAGGAGCAUGAUUAAGAGUAUCUACUUGAAAAUGCUUGGGGGAAUUAAGAAAUGUUACUUGUAAGAAUCUAAUGUGUAUGAAUGCAGUAAGACCAAAAGCAGUUUUCAUAACAGGUCUCUAACUUCAAGAUAGAUUACUCACAACAACAAUGCUGAAAAACUAGGGAAUGUAGAUAGAUACAAGGUGUAAAAUGUACAAACUAGCAGAGGAGAGCAUGGAUCACUUAUUUGUUGAAUGUGAAGUUAGCAGACGAGUGUGGAGCAAGCUAAUGACUUGGAUACAAAUUUCUUGGCCAACAAUGGCUUCAUGGGAUCACAUGCAAAACAAGAUAGAGCAAAGUACAAGAGGAAAGACAAAACAAGCAAUAAUUGUGAAGAUGAUAUAUACAGAGUUCAUUUAUGCAAUAUGGAUUGAACGAAAUAACAUAAUUUUCGUACAAAAAGAGAGUUCAAGUUAUGUUAUAGCUAGAGAAAUAGCUUAUACCUGUCAUGUUCGAGUUGCUAUUAAUUUUAGGAUGUCUCUUCAGAAUUUUAGAUUUCCUAUCUGGGGUGUACAAGAUAGUCUCCAUCGGUGAGUUUCUUUUGUUUGAUAUAUGAUCAGCUGACUGAGUUUUAAAGUCUAGAUAGAUUUGUAAAUAUCUUACUUGGAAAUUAUUGAAAGUUGAUAGUUACCAAAAAAACUUGCAUGAUGUGUUUUGAUGUUCUAUUCAUGGUUUUGUAUGUUAUUUUAAUGUUUCGAACUUGCAAGUGAGUUUGUAUGAGGUUUACGCACUUGUAUGGAUGUUUGGUGUGGGACGAGGGACUCGAGGGAGUUUCGGAUUGACUUCAGAGUGUUUUGGUGAAGCUUCAGAGUGACUUGAACCUUGUCACUACUUCACUGUGUUUAGUCUCGAUAUUUUUUGGGUAUCAAUCGUAGUGUACUCAUACUAGACUUCUAUAUAUUUUUGUACAGAUCUAGGUGUUGGAGGCAACAGAUCUUGAGAUCGAAAGCUCGCAUCGGUCGUGAGGAUUCAAAGUAGAGCUGUAUGUUGUCACAGUCUCUUGGUGUCUCAUCCUUUAUAUUGAUACUAUUAAAUUUACCUUCGAACAUUAUUAUUUUUUUAAUAUUCCACAUGCAGUCACUUAGAGCUCAAGACUAUGUGUUACCUAGAUCUGGCAAGAUGUAUUGAGUGUUUCCAUUUUAGCUUGUAUUGACUCUAUUUUCGCUUUUAUAUUAAAUUAUGUCUUAUUAUAUCAUGUUUUAUUGAUUUAAAUUUGUUAAGUAAUAGACUUACCUAAUCUUAGAAAUUAGGUGUCAUCACAACCCCUAUAGUGGGAUUUGGGUCUUGACACAUAACCACCGAACAGACAAUUCACGUGUUUAACAAUCCAGUCCAUCACACAGAACCAUAUACAAUAAUGCAUGCAUACCAUCAACGAUUAUGUCACUACCCAAAAUCUCAAUCACGGGACCGUGAUGGUGUCUAACAUCCGCUUGAUAGGAACGCCAACAUUAGCUAAAACAUUAAUCAGUUUAAUAAUUUUAAAAUUAAAUCAUUAAUAAAAUACGAUAAAAAUACUCUAAAUAUAUAAUAGAAUCCAUAAAACAUCGCUGCCUAGUCUAAUCCCAAAAACUGGUGUCACAAAAUGCAUGAGCUGCUAGAAUACUACAAAUUGAAUACUAAUGCAAAUACUUGAAAAUAACUAAAAUUUUGAGGGCUUUUUUAUUUUCGCAAAACAUAUUAUUUCUGUAAAUUUGGAAAAUUUGGCAAUGAGCUUGUGUAGAGUCGUGAACGUGGCAAAGUCAUUUAUACUCGCUUCUAAUGAACCCACUACAUCUUUCCCCAAAAAUCUAAAUCUCCAAUUUUAUCCAUAUUCAAGGCUUUACUAACUAACAUCACUACCCAUUUCUAUGCCUGGUAAGUAAUAUUUCACUAUAAGUUUUAAAUUAGACUUAGUGUCAAACUGUAAAAUCUUAACUUUUUUUCCAGUCAAAGGGAAAACAAAUAGGAAAAACAUGAAACGAAAUAAGAAAAAAAGCAAAGGACAACUUACAGUCUAAAAGUAGCCAGGAAUUUUCUAACACAUCCAUUAUUCCAUCAUCCUAAACCGUGAAAGUAGCCAGGAAUUUUCAUAUGUAAAUAAGAAAGAUAAACUGUUCAUUAAGAAUUAAACUCAUGCAUCAGCAUAUUAUAGUAUAAAUUGAAGUAGAAUACUACUAAUUGAAUUCAAAAGUUGAUUCUAGAUUAGAUCCUCGAGAAUAACUUUGUCCCCAAAAUGCACGACCUGCAAGUUUAUUCAUAUAGAUUACCAUAUAAUACAAACAAAAUCAAAAUGCACCAACUAAACCCCCAAUUUUACAAACUAGAAACCACAAUUUAUCAUAUAUACAAAUAAAGAACAAAAGUAAAUUAAUGGGUUUAUCAGACAUGUUACCAAAGAAAGAAAACAGAAGAAGAAGAUUUUUCAGCGAAACAUUAGCGAACAUCGAACAACCAUAGAAAAUAUCAAACAUGUCUAAGAUGUAAGCAAAUCUAAAUGAUAUCAUAAAGAAUGAACCUUAGACCAAAAUGCUUUGCAAAAGAUAUCAAAUUCCAAGUAACAAGCAAAUAAAAAAUAAAAACGAAAAUCAAAUCCUAAAAAAAUUUCAAAAGUUCGCAUUUCACCUGGUGUUGCUUAGAGAUGAUAGCAAAGAAAUAGAUUAUGAUCGGAUAUGAAAUUUGAAAAAAAUGCAGAUUAGAAUAAAGCAGAAGAUAGAGUUAAGUAAGUUGUAACCUAAUCAGUUGAAGUAGAAAGAACAGAAUUUACCGUAUUGAAUUCACUGAAGGAACAACAGGGAUGAGAGCGAAAGAGUCAAGUGAGAGUACUCACUUGACUGAGAUUCCGCUGUAUCAUCUGAAAUAGUUUUCCUUCGUUGGAAGUAGUAUUCUUCAUUGGAGCAUACCGCACAGUUUUGCCGAUGGCGAUUUUUUCUACAUUAGAGAUGGUUUUGAGACUUGAGAGAAAUAAGGUUCUGAAGCUUGAAAGAGAAACGAACCGCAAUGGGACUAAACGAACCGCAAGCACAUAACAUGUCCUCCAAGAUAUGAGUGGUGUUCUCGGACUAUUCGUCCGUAUGAGGAUGAAAUAUUGUGUUCGGCUCAACCCGUGUGCCAACUCACAUUGCACGACUCUCCAAAUAUGCGAUAUGAAUUGUGUGCCCCGAUAAAAAAUGAGGUAAAUAGGCAUGUAGUGCAGGUGGAUAAUCUCCUGAAGGUAAAUAUGAGCUAACAUCUCUGAAGAAUAGGUGGCCACCACCAGAAUGAAGUGCGCGGACUUAGUCAACCGGUCCCCAAUAACCUAGACUGCAUCAUACUUCUUCAAGGUCCAUGGCUAGCUAACCCCAAAGUCUAUAGUGAUGCUUUUACACUUCCACUCUGGUAUCUCUAAUCUCUGAGUCAGUUCACCUGGUUUCUGAUGUUCAUAUAUCACCUGUUGACAAUUCAAGCACCGAGAUACAUAAGUAAAUAUGUCUUUCUUCAUUCUGCGCCACCAAUAGUGUUGUUUCAAGUCAUAGUACAUCUUCGUAACACCUGGGUGAAUAGAAUAGCGCGAACUGUGCGCCUCUUCAAGGAUCAAAUCUCUCAACCCAUUAACAUUUGGAACAUAAAUUUUUCCUUGUAGCCGUAUAACACCAUCUUCUCCAAUCACAACAUCCUUGGUACCACCCUGCUGCACCAUAUCCUUCAACAACAGCGAGUAUCAUCAAACUGGCGAGCCUUGAUACGCUCCAAUAAUGAAGACUUUUCUACAACACAAGCAAGAACACAGCUAAGCUCCGAAACAUCUAAUCUCAUAAACCGGUUGGCUAAUGCCUGAAUAUCCAUGGCUAGUAGCCUCUCAACUACUGGUAAAUAUGCCAAACUAACCAUACUCUCGGCCACUACAUUGGCUUUCCCUUGAUGAUAUCAUAUAGUGAUAUCAUAGUCGCUUAGCAACUUUAACCAUCUCUACUACGACAAAUUAAGGUCUUUCUACUUAAACAUGUGUUGAGAGUCUGACGUAUGGAUAGUGCCUCCAAAUCUUCAGUGUGUGAACAAUGGCUGUCAACUCUAAGUCAUGAACAAGGUAAGUCUUCUCAUGAACCUUUAACUACCAAGACGUGUAAGUAAUCACCCUACCAUCCUACAUCAACAUUUCACCAAGACCAAUAAGCGAUGUAUCAUAAUACACAGUGUAAGAUCUUGAACCUGUAGGCAACACCAACAUUAGGGCUGUAGUUAAAGCAAUCUUGAGCUUUUAAAAGCUCAACUCACACUCAUCGGACCACCUGAAAAGUACACCCUUUUGGGUCUACUUGGGCAGUGGGGAUGAGAUAGAUGAAAAUCCCUCUAUGAACCGGCGAUAAUACCCUGCCAAACCCUAGAAGCUCCGAAUCUCUGUAGCUGAAGUAGGUCUAGGCCAGUUCUAAAAUGCCUCAAUCUUCUUAGGAUCCAAUUUAAUUCCCUCGGAGGAUACAACAUGGCCCAAAAAGGCAACCGAGUCCAACCAGAACUCACACUUUGAAAACUUGGCAUAUAACUGACUAUCCCUCAAGGUCUGAAGUAAAACCGAAAGAUGCCGCUCAUGCUCCCCUCGAAUACGAGAGUAAACCAAAAUAUCAUCAAUAAAAACGAUCACAAAAGAAUCCAACCUGGGCUUGAACACACGGUUCAUCAAAUCCAUUAAUGUCGAUGGGGCAUUUGUCAAGCUAAAUAACAUCACUAAGAACUCAUAGUGACGAUAUCGAGUCAGAAAAGUUUUCUUAGGGGCAUCUGAUUUCCUAAUCUUUAACUGAUGGUAGCCAAAUCUCAAAUCAAUCUUCGAAAGCACUUUGGAAUCCUGAAGCUAAUCAAUAAAGUCACCAAUCCUCUGCAAAGGAUACGUGUUCUUGAUAGUGACUUCGUUCAACUGCCGAUAAUCUAUGUAUAUCCUCAUCGAACCAUCCUUUUUCAUCACGAACAACACUAGAUCACCCCAAGGUGAGACACUAGAUCUAAUGAAUCCCUUAUCAAGAAAAUCCUACAAUUACUCCUUCAAUUCCUUCAACUCAACUGGGGCUAUACGGUAUGGUGGAAUAUAAAUGGGAUGAGUACCCGGAGCCAAGUCAAUACAGAAGUCGAUAUCUCUAUCGGGUGGCAUCGUCGACAAAUCUAUAGGAAAUACCUCUGGAAACUUGCGCACAACUAGUACUGAAUCCAUGGAAGGAACCUCGGCACUAGGAUGACGGAUAUAGGCCAAAUAUGCUAGACAACCCUUCUCGACCAUAAGCUGAGCCUUCACAUAAGAAAUAAUCCUACCAGUAGAAUGGCCAGGAGUCCCUCUCCAUACUAAUUGAGGCAACCCCAGCAUAGCUAAUGUCACUGUCUUUGUGUGACAAUCCAAAAUAGAGAGAUAAGGUGACAUCCAAUCCACACCCAAGAUAUCAUCAAAGUUUACUAUAUCACGAAGUAGAAGGUCUACCCUAGUCUCAUAGCUCCCUAUUGAAACCACACACAAGCGAUAUACACGAUCUACAAUAAUAGAAUCUCCCAUAGGCGUGGACACAUCGACAUGAGCACUCAAAGAAUCACGAGGCAUAACUAGAUAUGAAGAAAAAUAGGAUGACACGUAUGAAUAAGUAGAGACCGGAUCAAAUAGAACUGAGGCACCUCUAUUGCAAACCGGAACAAUACUUGUGAUGAUGGCGUCAGAUGACUCUCCCUCGGGUCUGGUUGGUAAUGCAUAAAGACGGGGCUGAGACCUACCACUGUGACCUCCCCCCCUCGGGCAACCUCUUAUUGGCUGGCCUCCACCUCUAAUGGCCUAACCACCACUUCUAGAUAACUAACCUCCACCUCUAGCAGCCUGACCCCCGCCUCUAGCUGGUUGAGCAGGCGGUGAAGCAGUCGGUGCUGGAACCAUGGCACGAGAACUCUAUUGUGGCAUGUCACCCUAUGACCUAGGGCAAAUCCUCGCGAUGUGCCUCAGAUCUCCACAUGCAUAACAAGCCCUUGGCUGAUGUGGCUGCUAAAGUUGGGACAGACCCUGAAGGCCCAGAUACUCACUGUGAUAGCUAACUACUCCGGAUGAUACCCAUAUGAACUAUGACUAUCUGAAGCACCGUGGGAUGCCUAGAGAGAAGACUGAAUCACCCUGGGAGGAUGGCCGCUAUUGAAGAACCUCUACCUUUAGAGGAGGCACCACUGAAGCCAUCAAAAUAAUGAGUCCUCUUAUCAGACACCGUCUCUCUACCCUGACUACAAAUUAUCUCGAUCCGUCUAGCAAUCUCUACGGCCCUCUGGAAAGAAAUAUCAUUCCCAGUCUCUUUGGCCAUUUGUAGUGUAACGGCCUGGCCGGUUAUUUUGAGAUCUAGCAUAUCGUUCGAUGGUUUGAGAACUUGAGUAACUUCACUCUAUGUAUUAUGACUUGCACAUGUAGUCUCGGGAAGAUCGGGGUUGGUUUGGAAGAAUAAUUCUCAAUUUGGAAGAUUUAAGUUGGAAGAGUUGACCUCGUUUGGGUUUUCAAAAAGUGAUCUUGGAUCGGCCUUUUAACGGUUCCGUUAUAUCCGGAUAGUGAUUUUUGACUUAGGCGCAUGUUCGGAUUUGUAUUUGGAGGUCCGAAGGUUGAUUUGAUACUUUUUGGAAAAAGUUAGAAGAUUAAUGUUUUGAAAGGUUGAAAGGUUUGACCGAGAGUUGACAUUAUUGAUAUCGGGUUCGGAUUGUAGUUACGGGAGUUGGUAUAGGUCUGUUGUAUCAUUUGGGACUUGCAUGCAAAAUUUGAGGUUAUUCCAGAUUGAUUUAGCAUAGUUCGGCGUGAGUUUUAGAAAUUUAAAAGUACAUUAGUUCACUAGGCUUGAAUUGAUGUACAAUUAAUAGUUUUGAUGUACAAUUAGUAGGUUUGCGUAUAUUUUGGGACUGGUUGGUAUGAUUGGACGGGGUCCUGGGGGCCUCGUGUGUAUUUUAGAUGGGUUUGGGUUGUGUCGCGCUCUUAUUUGAUAUUUUCGUAUCGUUUCUUUCGGCAUAAAGGGUACGAUAUUGAGAAAAAACAUUUUAUUUUUUUAUUAUAUUGAACCAUUAGAUUCGAAUCGUAAUUAUGUAACCAUGUGAACAAGAAUCGUCGAAUUUUGAGGUCGAAUGAGAGAGUUAUGCACAUUUUCGUGUAAGCAAAGAUUGCUGGUUUCUGGUACGAACUAUUGCUCUUCGCGAACGCGAAGGUGUCCCGCAAAGGCAAAGAACAAAAAUCACCUGGGCAGUGUUUUAAAUAGGCAGACCGAGCAUUUUAGUAUUUUGAGCAUAUCUUGAGUUCUAGAGCUCCAUUUGAGGUAAUAUUUACGGCGUAGUUCUCGUCUCAAUAAGGGGGAAAAUAUCUAACCUUUCUUUUGAUGUUUUCCCAUGAUUAUUUCUGUUGGUUAUUAUUUUUAUCCUUAUUUGGAUUCCAGAAAUUGAGAUUUUGUGCCUCAACGUUGACAAAUUGUAAAUCCUUCAUUUGGGGUUCAAUUCAUGGAUGAAAUUCUAUGAUUUUCUUGAUAUAGACUAUAUAAGUUAUGGGUAAUAUUUAUUGUUGAUAAUUUUUUUAAUUCGGGCCAGGGGCCCGGAGUUGACUUAUGUUGAUUUUUCGUGCGGGGUUGAGAAUUGAUUCUAAAUGAUAUAUUAUAGGUUCUUGGAUAUGUUUUGAUUGAUUUUCAUGUUCUUUGAAUUAGUUCGUUUGGCAUUGGUUAGAGGAUUUAGAGAGGCGUCGGAGCCGGUUAUCGGAUUUCGGAGUGAGGUAAAUCUCAUGUCUAAUCUUGUGAGGGAAAAUUUACCCUGUAGGUAUUAUUUUUGCUAUGUGCUACAUGUUGUGAGAGCUACGCUUGUAUGAGGUGACGAGUGUCCGUGCAGAUGCUAGAAUUCAUUAUUAGGUCCCGGUUGACUUAGACUGACGCCAUGCUUUAAUUGAAAUAAUUAAGACAUCCAUACCUGUUUAAAUGCUUUAAAUUACAUUUUGCCUGAGACUAAUCUUUCGUAGAUUAUCUAACUUGCGACUUAGAUAUUUGGCGAGCUACUUGGUUAGUAGAGAGAAUACAUUUUCUUUUACGAAUUUCUUCUGCGUUGUACAUAUUUGUCCGAUAAUUUUUGAAUUUCAUGACUCACACAUAUAUUCGUGAAUGGGGCCAGUGACCCAUCAAGUCUUCACUAGUCCUAUGGGAUUGGGCUGAAUGCCUCAGCAUUAUCAUUAUGUGAUCGGGUCAUUCGCCUUUGUAGUAUUAUGAGAUGCAUCUAUGGUUCGCGUCGGUCGACCCUCAAUAGUGUGCACGAUUAUGGAUCGAUCUAAACGAACUCAUUAGGGAUCGGGCCAUAUGCCACGGCAGGAACUUGUGCCAUUACUCUUAUGGAACCGGGCCGCUCGCCUCGGCAGAAUUGUGUGUAAUGCCUGAUAUGAAGUCAAUGUACCCGUAAGUUUUUCUAACUAGAGAUGUAACCGUUUAUUUGGUGUUGAACAUUAUUUAUUCCAUUUAAGGUAGUAUCCAGUUAUUGAUUACUUUGUGUUUAUUCUCUUGUUGAGGACAAUAUUAUGCAUUUAUAUCUGUUUUGUUGUUUUUACUUGCUAUGCUCCAUCCCAUGCCUACUUUUAGUCUACAAACUUUAUUGGACCACUAGUAAGUGGUAAUGUCGAUCCCUCAUCACUACUUCUCUAGGGUUAGGCUAGAUGCUUACUGGGUAUGCAUUGAUUUACGUACCCAUGCUUACACUUCUGCACUGACUGUGCAAGUAGUUUUGGUAGUCAUUUGGGCGCAUGAGCGCAACUGUUGAGGGGACUUUAUGAUGACUUGCAUUCUAUGUUACGAUCCAGAGCACAUGGAGACUCCAUCAUAUUUAUUUAUGUUGUUAUGUCUAUUUUACAUUCCAUACAUAUGUUUUAUUAGAAUUGUACUUCCUUGUAGAUGCUCAUGCACUUGUGACAUCGGAUUUUGGGAAUCUCUAGUAGAUGUUAUGGUUUUUCUAAUGCUGUCUCCAUUUUCUUUUAUGUUUAUUAAUAUUACAUAUAUCCUUGAUUUUCCAAGCAUUGAUUUUCAUAAUUUAUAAGAGCCAUGAUUUUAAAAGUAAUAAAUUAAAUAAUUAAAUGGAUAGUUCACUGUUGGCUUGCCUAACGGCGACAUUGGGAACCAUCACGGCAUAUAGUGAGAAUUGGGUCGUGACAUGUAGCCGGAUACUGAAAGUAAGUCCAUCAAUGAAUCUCCUCACUCUCUCCCUCUCAGUAGGGAGUAAGAUAACUGCAUGGCGAGCUAGAUCCACAAAUCGGGUCUCAUACUGGAUAACGGUCAUACUACCUUACUGAAGGCACUCAAAGUGCCUGUUGUACUCCUCUCUCAUAGUGAAAGGAAUAAACUUCUCCAGAAAAAGCUGCGAAAACUAAUACCAAGUGAGGGAUGGCGAACCUGCUGGUCUACCCCACUCAUAAUCCUACCACCACUUCUUUGUAGAAUCGGUCAGGAACACUGCAAAGUCGACCCUAUUGAUCUCAAGAAUACGCAUGUUGCGUAGAACCUCAUGGCAACGGUCCAAAUAAUCAUGUGGGUCCUCAGAAGGUGCACCAGUAAAAUGAAUAGAGAAGAGCUUUGUAAACUUAUCCAACCUCAUCAAUCACUCAGAAGACAUCAUGGGCCUCUCCCCGGUUGUGUAGAAAUAAUAGGCUGAACUAUCCCAACUGGAAGAACUACUGGAGUAUGAUAUAUGGGAGCCAUCUGCUCCGGAGUGUUAGUAGGGGAAUUUUGGGCUCCUCCUCUAGCCUGAGAGACAGCUGGUGCCACCGAAAAUGCACCGGUCUGGACCACGCUCUCCAUGAGUCCCGCUAAGCGGACUAGAGCAUCCUGAAGCAAGGAGUGGCUAUAAAUCCCUCUCGGACCUGAGCGGGUCCGACCGGUGUGGUCUUAAUUGGGAUCUCCUCCUCAUAAUCAAUCUGAGGCUCCACAGUGCGUGCUGCUACAUGAGCUCUAGGCUGAGUUGUGCCUCUGCCUCAGCCCCUACCUCGGCCCCGACCCUUACCCCUGGUAGUGGGUGCAAUAGGGGGCUCUGGCUCUUGCCCGGCUAUAGAUGUUGUGCGUGUUCUCACCAUAUAUGAGAGAACAAGAAUGAAUGAUUCAAACAUCAAUGAUAGAGUAAAAUCGCACGAUAGAGAAAGAAAGAAGUGAAAUUUUCCCAAACCUCUAUAGACUCUAGAAGAUAAGUACAAAUGUCUUUGUACUGAUCCUCCAGACUCUUCUAAGCUUACUCAUGACUCAUGAGACGUAGGAAACCUAGUACAAACAAAAUCAAAAUGCACCUACUAAACCUUCAAUUUUACAAACUAGAAACCACAAUUUAUCAUAUAUACAAACAAAGAACAAAAGUAAAUUAAUGGGUUUAUCAAAAAUGUUACCACAAAAAAAAAAAAAGCAGAAGAAGAAGAUUUUUCAGCGAAAUAGUAGCGAACAUCGAAUAGCCAAAGAAAAUAUCAAACAUGUCUAAGAUGUUAGCAAAUCUAAAUGAUAUCAUAAAGAAUGAACCUUAGACCAAAAUUCUUUGCAAAACAUAUCAAAUUCCAUGUAACAAGCAAACAAAAAAUAAAAUCGAAAAUCAAAUCGUAAAAAUCUCCAAAAAUUAGUAUUUCACCUGGUGUUGCUUAGAGAUGAUAGCAAAGAAAUAGAUUAUGAUCGGAUACGAAAUACGAAAAAAUGCAGAUUAGAAUAAAAGCAGAAGAUAAAGUUAAGUAAAUUAAAACCUAAUCAGUUGAAGUAAAAAGAGUAGAAUUUACCCUUUUGAAUUCACUGAAGGAACAGCAGGGAUGAGGGCAAAAGAGUCAAGUGAGAGUACUCUUAAAGUACCUACAUAUGAGAUUCCGCUAUAUCAUCUGAAAUAGUUGUCCUUUGUCGGAAGUAGUAUUAUUCGUUGGAACAGACCGCACAGUUUCACCGAUGGCGAUUUUUUCUACGUUAGAGAUGGUUCUGAUACUUGAGAGAAAUAUAGUUUUGAAGCUUGAAAGAGAAACGAACCGCAAUGGGACUAAACGAAUGGCGAUUAUUUCUAGGUUAAAUUGGUUUCUUAACAUAAAAAAUAAAUUUAAAAAAAUUAUUAAAAUGCUGGUAGGAUCUUCUAUUUUUUUAA